AGUACUGUGAAAACGAUGUACGUGCCAUGAUUGCAAUCGAACUGUUUAUUAAGGACUUUAUUACGAAUCAGCUUUAACCUUAUUCUUUAAAGCUUUUAGUUUUGGUUUACGUGCCUUUCAGUUAAUCUUUUUCGGUCUAACUGUUAAAGCUCGCAUAGGCUUUUGACUGUCUAACUUAUUUUUAAUGUCACUAAAAAAGUUAAUGCCUUUACCACUUUUAAGAAACUGGGUAAAGGCUGACAUUGCAUUGUGUUCUAACACGCUCUUGUCAUCAUAGUGUUUACUGUUAGGUACAGCUUGUGACCAGAUAAUGUCACCGUUAAGCUCAAUAAUACUCAACACAAGGUUAUUGCUAGUUAAACUAACCCGUACCCUAGGUUCUGGUAGCUUUUGUUCUUGAAACAGUGAAAAGAAGUUGUACUUGAGAAUUUCUGAGUAAGUUUUUUUAAAAAUAUGUUCUUCGACAAAUUGAUUCGCUUUCUCUAUGCCAAGGUCUUCGUAAAUGGCUGCCACUAACGCC
rnacentral:sRNA from 1 species